UUGACCUCGGAUCAGGUAGGGAUACCCGCUGAACUUAAGCAUAUCAAUAAGCGGAGGAAAAGAAACCAACAGGGAUUGCCCUAGUAACGGCGAGUGAAGCGGCAUCAGCUCAAAUUUGAAAUCUGGCUCUUUCAGGGUCCGAGUUGUAAUUUGCAGAGGGCGCUUUGGUGUUGGCAGCGGUCCAAGUUCCUUGGAACAGGACGUCACAGAGGGUGAGAAUCCCGUACGUGGUCGCUGGCCUUCGCCGUGUAAAGCCCCUUCGACGAGUCGAGUUGUUUGGGAAUGCAGCUCUUAAUGGGAGGUAAAUUUCUUCUAAAGCUAAAUACUGGCCAGAGACCGAUAGCGCACAAGUAGAGU
rnacentral:rRNA from 1 species